rnacentral:rRNA from 1 species
CAGUAGCCGCGGUAAUACGUAGGGUGCGAGCGUUAAUCGGAAUUACUGGGCGUAAAGCGUGCGCAGGCGGUUAUAUAAGACAGAUGUGAAAUCCCCGGGCUCAACCUGGGACCUGCAUUCGUGACUGUAUAGCUAGAGUACGGUAGAGGGGGAUGGAAUUCCGCGUGUAGCAGUGAAAUGCGUAGAUAUGCGGAGGAACACCGAUGGCGAAGGCAAUCCCCUGGACCUGUACUGACGCUCAUGCACGAAAGCGUGGGGAGCAAACAGGAUUAGAUACCCCCGUAGUCCCUGUCUCUUAUAC